UACAGCCAUAUCCCUUUGAAACACCGUGUCUCCUUGGAUCACCGAAAUUAAGCAACAUCGAGACUGGUCAGUACCUAUAUGGGUGACCACUUGGAAAUACCAGGUGCUGUAAG